UAUAGAGGUCUCAAGCGUUUGUUCGGAUUCAUUGGGCGUAAAGGGUGCGCAGGCGGCGCGGUAAGUCGGGGUGUGAAAUCUCGGAGCUUAACUCCGAAACUGCAUUCGAUACUGCCGUGCUUGAGGACUGGAGAGGAGACUGGAAUUUACGGUGUAGCGGUGAAAUGCGUAGAUAUCGUAAGGAAGACCAGUGGCGAAGGCGGGUCUCUGGACAGUUCCUGACGCUGAGGCACGAAGGUCAGGGGGAGCAAAACAGG
rnacentral:rRNA from 1 species